rnacentral:rRNA from 1 species
UACGGGGGGAGCAAGCGUUGUUCGGAUUUACUGGGCGUAAAGCGCACGUAGGCGGAUUGUUAAGUCGGGGGUGAAAUCCUGGAGCUCAACUCCAGAACUGCCUUCGAUACUGGCGAUCUCGAGUUCGGGAGAGGUGAGUGGAACUGCGAGUAUAGAGGUGAAAUUCGUAGAUAUUCGCAAGAACACCAGUGGCGAAGGCGGCUCACUGGCCCGAUACUGACGCUGAGGUGCGAAAGCGUGGGGAGCAAACAGG